UACGUAGGGUGCAAGCGUUGUCCGGAAUUAUUGGGCGUAAAGAGCUCGUAGGCGGUCAGUCGCGUCUGCUGUGAAAACUCGGGGCUUAACUCCGGGCCUGCAGUGGGUACGGGCUGACUAGAGUGCGGUAGGGGGAGACUGGAAUUCCUGGUGUAGCGGUGAAAUGCGCAGAUAUCAGGAGGAACACCGGUGGCGAAGGCGGGUCUCUGGGCCGUAACUGACGCUGAGACACGAAGGCCAGGGGAGCAAACGGGG
rnacentral:rRNA from 1 species